UCGUUUGAUAGACCGUUCUGUCUGAUUCUUUCUCCGCUGGAUUUUUCAGAAUCCAAGCACCAGAGAUUCUCUUGAUUCUUGCUAAGCUCCACAAGAGAAAAAGAUCAACCAUGUCGAUGCAGAAGAGAGCUUUGGUCUCCUCUUCUUCGGGUCAACCAAGUCAACCCAAGAGGUCCUGCUUGCAUCCGGUCGAUGAAGCAUGGAAUGGGUCUGAGACGAAUCUCCUGCUGAGUUGCCAUUUGACAAAGGAGGAUGUGCGGAGUGUGGUCAGAGAAGAGCUGGAGCGUGCCAAAUCUCACUCGGCUGAAUUUCAAAGUUGCACUGGGCAUGCUCUUGAAGAUAUAGUGCAACUGAUGCACUCGCUGGAGUAUAAUGCUCAGAAACUGAAGGAAGCACUGAAGCUUGCAGGCAUUCACUGUCCCUACCUUGCAAGUUGCACAGGGCAUGGUCUUGAAGACAUAGCGCAACAGAUGCACUCACUAGAGGAUGCUGUUCAGAAACUGAAGGAAGUACUGGAGUUUGCAAGCAUUCACUCUCCCCACGUUGUAAGGGCUAAUACUAACUCUACGGGAAGGAAUGAUGUGAGAAACUUACAGCUUCAACUUGGAACCAAACUGUCACUUCCUCUAUUUACUGGAAACAAACUAGAAGGAGAUGGCAGAGGACACAUUAACGUUGCCUUGAUUGAUGUGAAUACCGGGAAGUCGUUACAUCAGGCCUGGAAUCCUCUAUUAAGUUGGAUGUUGUCGUGCUUGAAGGUGACUUCAACAAAGACGAUGAGGAUAACUGGACCCAAGAAGAGUUUGAGAACCAUGUGGUUAAACAACGUGAAGGAAAGAGGCCGCUUUUGACUGGAGAUCUCCUAGUGAAGCUCGAAAGAGGUGUUGGGAAGCUGGGAAGUUUCAUGUUUACUGACAAUUCCAGCUGGAAUAGGAGUAAAAGUUUCAGGAUAGGGCUUAAGGUGGCCUCAGGUUAUUGUGGGAACACACGAAUCCGAGAAGCAAAAACAGAAGCCUUCACUGUGAGGGAGCAUAGAGGAGAAUCAUACAAGAAACAUUAUCCACCUGCACCUGACGAUGAAAUCUGGAGGUUGGAGAAGAUCGCCAAAGAUGGGAAACUUCACCAAAGACUAAAUGAAGCAGGAAUACGUAAAGUGGAGGACUUUCUGAUGCAACUGUUCACAGACUCUAAGAAACUGAGAGAGAUUCUUGGAAAGAGCAUCACACAGAAGAACUGGGAUAUCCUUAUAGAUCAUGCAAGGACUUGCAAUAUGGAUCAGCAAACUUUGUUUGCUACUCAUCGACUUUCUGCCCUAGAGAAGGAACGUGGAGAUACAAUUGUGAAAAAGGCCUUGGAUAACCAGAAUGAUGUUAGGGAGUUCAAUGGUGAGACAUUUUCUGGUUCGAUGCAGAAGAAAAACUCAAGCCCUUUUCCAUCUCAAGUAUUUGGAGGACGAAUUGAAAAUCCCACCCUAGUUCCACCAAACUUGGCUGCUUCUGUUGGUCCGGAAGCUCCUUUGACAAAUGCAGGUUUCCUUGCUCAAGGACAUAAUGGUGCAGCUGCUUCGGCAUUGUCAGUACAGUUGCAAAAUACCAAUUCUGGAAAUGCCAUGAAGCUUUUGGUCAAUGACAACGUUUGUGUCGCGGUGCAGCAGCCCCCGUAUCCAGGUCCCUGGAAUGUUCUAAAUUCUCGAGGAGACAAUUGUAUCCCUACUGCCGGAUCGCCAAUGCAGUUUCAUGGUAACGAUUUCCAGAAUGCCAUGUGGAGUGAUACGAUCCAUUCUUCGAGCCAAACGGACUAUACAGGGGGCGGGAGUGUCCUCGACUCUGAACUGCCCUGUGCCUCGACAUCAAGCCUCCAGUCUUGGAGUCCACUUCCUCAUCCUGAAGGCAAUCCCAUGAUGGGAGAUUCCCCAGCAAUUUAUUUAGAUGACAUUUUGGAAUGUGAUGACUUGUCAGAUCCCACGAUACGAUGAUGAUGGUUCUGUUAGAGGUACCAGGAACGGUGGUGUUAAGUCCGAAAUUUAGCCCAAUUCUCUUUCUUCCUCAUAUCUGCAACUUUUCUCCGCGAAUUCUCAGACUCCGCUGGACCUCACAAGCCUCCCUCCAUUGAAGCUCCAUCCUUCACAAGCUCACCAUGGGUUUGCAUUUCCCACCGACGCUUCUGUGCCCUCCUCGCGUUUUGUUAUAGCAUAUCUGGUGGCUGCAUUUUCGGUUGCUAGUCGCGUGUGCUUCUGUUUCAGCUUCAGUUCGACAAACUGCUUUGGCUUCUCAGGUUCUGCUUCCGUUCAGCGUUCUUUCACGACCUAAUGGGUGGGUCGACUCGAUUGUUCCGGCCCGGUUUGGCUCGAUUUCUUCCAAUUGGCAGGUGAAGAUGAAGGAGUUGAAUCCGGAGAAGGAUUUUCUAGCAAUAGUCACGGAAGACUCGAAGGCUGUAAACAAUCUCUCCUGAGUAUAGCUAAGACUAGAGAAACUUCUUUUAUUUAUUUAUUGAUCUAUUCAUUUAUUCAUUCAUUCAGUGUGUUGGUUUCUUCAACGAUGGGCAUUUGUGCUUUAGUAUAUUUGGUGUCUUUCCAAUUGGACAUAUCAUAAGCGUCCCGUGUGUUGAAAUCAACUAUUUAGCAGUAAGGUAUAUUGGAUACAGCCGACGAUUCAUUCUUUC